CCUACGGGAGGCAGCAGUGGGGGAUAUUGCACAAUGGGGGGAACCCUGAUGCAGCGACGCCGCGUGGGUGAAGGAGCGUUUCGGCGCGUAAAGCUCUAUCAGCAGGGAAGAAAAUGACGGUACCUGACUAAGUAGCCCCGGCCAACUACGUGCCACCAGCCGCGGUAAUACGUAGGGGGAAAGCGUUAUCCGGAUGUACUGGGUGUAAAGGGAGCGUAGACGGUUGUGCAAGCCAGAUGUGAAAGCCCGGGGCUCAACCCCGGGACUGCAUUUGGAACUGUGUAGCUGGAGUGUCGUAGAGGCAGGCGGAAUUCCUAGUGUAGCGGUGAAAUGCGUAGAUAUUAGGAGGAACACCAGUGGCGAAGGCGGCCUGCUGGACGAUGACUGACGUUGAGGCUCGAAAGCGUGGGGAGCAAACAGGAUUAGAUACCCGUGUAGUC
rnacentral:rRNA from 1 species